rnacentral:rRNA from 1 species
GUGCCAGCCGCCGCGGUAAUACGUAGGGGGCAAGCGUUGUCCGGAAUCAUUGGGCGUAAAGCGCGUGUAGGCGGCUUGGUAAGUCCGGUGUGAAAUCCUGGGGCUCAACCCCAGGCGUGCAUCGGAUACUGCCUCGCUCGAGUUCGGGAGGGGAGAGCGGAAUUCCUAGUGUAGCGGUGAAAUGCGCAGAUAUUAGGAAGAACACCGGUGGCGAAGGCGGCUCUCUGGAACGAAACUGACGCUGAGACGCGAAAGCGUGGGUAGCGAACAGGAUUAGAAACCCCAGUAGUCC